rnacentral:rRNA from 1 species
UACGGAGGGUGCAAGCGUUGUCCGGAAUCACUGGGCGUAAAGGGCGCGUAGGCGGCUCAUGAAGUCUGUGGUGAAAGUCCGGGGCUCAACCUCGGAUCGGCCGUGGCGACUCGUGGGCUGGAGCACUGUAGAGGCGGGUGGAAUUCCGGGUGUAGCGGUGGAAUGCGUAGAGAUCCGGAAGAACACCAGUGGCGAAGGCGGCCCGCUGGGCAGUUGCUGACACUGAGGCGCGACAGCGUGGGGAGCAAACAGG